AAGUCGUAACAAGGUCUCCGUUGGUGAACCAGCGGAGGGAUCAUUACCGAGUUUACAAACUCCCAAACCCUUUGUGAACCUUACCUAUCGUUGCUUCGGCGGGAUCGCCCCGGCGCCUUCGGGUCCGGAACCAGGCGCCCGCCGGAGGCCCCAAACUCUUAUGUCUUUAGUGGUUUUCUCCUCUGAGUGACACAUAAACAAAUAAAUAAAAACUUUCAACAACGGAUCUCUUGGUUCUG
rnacentral:misc_RNA from 1 species